CCUACGGGGUGCAGCAGCGGGGAAUAUUGGACAAUGGGCGAAAGCCUGAUCCAGCAAUGCCGCGUGUGUGAAGAAGGUCUUCGGAUUGUAAAGCACUCUCGACGGGGACGAUGAUGACGGUACCCGUAGAAGAAGCCCCGGCUACUCCGUGCCAGCGGCCGCGGUAAGACGGGGGGCAAGUGUUCUUCGGAAUGACUGGGCGUAAAGGGCACGUAGGCGGUGAAUCGGGUUGAAAGUGAAAGUCGCCAAAAACUGGCGGAAGACUCUCGAAACCAAUUCACUUGAGUGAGACAGAGGAGAGUGGAAUUUCGUGUGUAGGGGUGAAAUCCGGAGAUCUACGAAGGAACGCCAAAAGCGAAGGCAGCUCUCUGGGUCCCUACCGACGCUGGAGUGCGAAAGCAUGGGGAGCGAACGGGAUUAGAUACCCCCGUAGUC
rnacentral:rRNA from 1 species